rnacentral:rRNA from 1 species
AACGAACGCUGGCGGCAUGCCUAACACAUGCAAGUCGAACGAGACCUCCGGGUCUAUUGGCGCAUGGGUGUGUCACGCGUGGGAACCUGCCCUUAGGUUCGGCAUAACUCUCCGACAGGGGUGCCAUCACCGGAUCAUGUCUUCGACCCAAUGAUUUAUCGCCUUGGGUUGGUCCCGCGUGGGAUUAGCUAGUUGUUAGGGUUAUAGCCUACCAAGGGGCCGAUUCAUAGCUGGUUUGAGAGGAUGGUCAGCCACACUGGGACUCAGACACGGCCCGGACUCCUACGGGAGGCAGCAGUGGGGGAUAUUGGACAAUGGGCGGAAGCCUGAUCCAGCAAUGCCGCGUGAGUGAUGAAGGCCUUAGAGUUGUAAAGCGCUUUUACCCGGGAUGAUAAUGACAGUACCGGGAGAAUAAGCCCCGGCUAACUCCGUG